AUUGAACGCUGGCGGCAGGCUUAACACAUGCAAGUCGAGCGGGGUGAUGGUGCUUGCACUAUCACUUAGCGGCGGACGGGUGAGUAAUGCUUAGGAAUCUGCCUAUUAGUGGGGGACAACAUCUCGAAAGGGAUGCUAAUACCGCAUACGUCCUACGGGAGAAAGCAGGGGAUCACUUGUGACCUUGUGCUAAUAGAUGAGCCUAAGUCGGAUUAGCUAGUUGGUGGGGUAAAGGCCUACCAAGGCGAGGAUCUGUAGCGGGUCUGAGAGGAUGAUCCGCCACACUGGGACUGAGACACGGCCCAGACUCCUACGGGAGGCAGCAGUGGGGAAUAUUGGACAAUGGGGGGAACCCUGAUCUAGCCAUGCCGCGUGUGUGAAGAAGGCCUUAUGGUUGUAAAGCACUUUAAGCGAGGAGGAGGCUUACCUAGUUAAUACCUGGGAUAAGUGGACGUUACUCGCAGAAUAAGCACCGGCUAACUCUGUGCCAGCAGCCGCAGUAA
rnacentral:rRNA from 1 species